GGUCAAACUAAAGGCGAGGAGGAGACGCGGCCGCCACCGGGCCGGGGCCGAGACGAGGCCGAGUCGGCCCGGACGGCUGCGCGGGACCCGCCGGCCGAGCAAGGGAAUGAGGGAGGGGGCUGCCGGCGAGGGGCCGCGGGCGGGCCGGGCGAGGCAGCUCCUCCGGGGCAGCCCCUCCGGUCCCGGCGGCGCAGCCGGCCGCCCCCCCGCCGCCUCCCGUCACAGCUAAUACAGUGAUUGUCCAAGUAACUUGCAUCAUGAAAUUAUAAAAUUCCUGUAACAGUGGAGGCAGCAGGAGUCCCUCAGCUGGAAGGCAGAGAGAGCAGGACUACUCUUCUGCAACAGUGCUCUUACCGUCUUCAAUUUAAACCAUCCUGAAAGUGCACCAGUAAUCAGGCUUUGUGGCAUUGGAAGAUGGUCUGAAUCUUAUACUGAAAGAUGCCUUUAAAAAGAAAGAACUCAUUUUCUACAGACAGCUUUGCCCUCUUGGACCAGAGAUGUUGGUGACCUUGAAAGAAGAAAAGGCAGACUCUGGGCCCAAAGUAGGAGUUGGAAGACUUUUCAGGAUAACUUGGAGACAUGUCAUGUAGAGUGCUACAGUGAACUUUCUGUGGGUGUUAGAAGCUCACUACAACAUACAAUCAACAUUCAAGGCGGUAACAUACAUCUGAAUCACUGCAUGACGUAAGUGCUACUGGAGGUGAUGUGAUUUGGGUUACA